GAUGAACGCUGGCGGCGUGCCUAAUACAUGCAAGUCGAGCGAACAGACGAGGAGCUUGCUCCUCUGACGUUAGCGGCGGACGGGUGAGUAACACGUGGAUAACCUACCUAUAAGACUGGGAUAACUUCGGGAAACCGGAGCUAAUACCGGAUAAUAUAUUGAACCGCAUGGUUCAAUAGUGAAAGACGGCUUUGCUGUCACUUAUAGAUGGAUCCGCGCCGCAUUAGCUAGUUGGUAAGGUAACGGCUUACCAAGGCAACGAUGCGUAGCCGACCUGAGAGGGUGAGCGGCCACACUGGAACUGAGACACGGUCCAGAACCCUACGGGAGGCAGCAGUAGGGAAUCUUCCGCAAGGGGCGAAAGCCUGACGGAGCAACGCCGCGUGAGUGAUGAAGGUCUUCGGAUCGUAAAACUCUGUUAUUAGGGAAGAAAAAAUGUGUAAGUAAAUAUGCACGUCUUGACGGUACCUAAGCAGAAAGCCACGGCUAACUACGG
rnacentral:rRNA from 1 species